UUAAAUGAGAGUUUGAUCCUGGCUCAGGACGAACGCUGGCGGCGUGCCUAACACAUGCAAGUCGAGCGAAGUAAUUAUCUUUGAUCCCUUCGGGGUGACGAGAUAAUUAU
rfam:Tissierella creatinophila DSM 6911 TICR_contig000012, whole genome shotgun sequence.